rnacentral:rRNA from 2 species
UGCAGAAUCCCGUGAACCAUCGAGUCUUUGAACGCAAGUUGCGCCCGAGGGACCCUCCCGAGGGCACGCCUGCCUCAUGGGCGUUAGAA